AUUUUAUUCGUCUAAAUAUCCGAUUAUCAAGACGAUGGAAAAACGUUCUAUUAACUUUCAGCUGCUGAGUCGUGUUCACAACAAACAGAGUUCAGUCCCGUAGUUUAGGUUCGUACUGUCUGACCUCUGUGACCUCUUUAGAAACUUCAUUUCAAAGAGUUGUUAAUGAGCAGCUGAUCAGUUAAAGUUUGCUCGAACCAGCUGCGGACGGAUCUGUGUGCUCCACCACCUGGUGGUGUUGAAGUGUAGCAUCGAACAGGACGAUGUCCGAGAGUCGAGAAAUAACGCAGAAAACACAGAAUAAAAAAAGGUCCCAGAGACUUCAACUGGAGCCUGGGAAAAAAAACCGAAAAAAAAAAA